UUUUUUUUUUUUUUUUUUUUUGGGAAAAUGUGACUGAUUUUUGCAAAGAGCGAGUUUUGAAAUGUUUACUCUGUGGUGGUUUGAAAUUUUUACAUCUUUCAACAAAGCGCGCGCGGAGAAGUGAAACCAUCUGAAAGGGCUUUUGAAAAGAGCGACUCAGCACAAGUUGGAGGAGGCUGCGGUUCCUUUAUCUUGGGCGAUCUGUGCCCAUCCUGCGGGAGGCGGGAGGGAGGACCAGCCCUUUCCCCACUUCGCUCCGUGCCUCCCUGCUCCGGGCUCCUAGGCAUGGCUUCAAAGCACUGUUGGCGGAGCGUCCCGGGAGGGAAUCGGGAAUCGGACACCUCCGCGCCGGGAAGCCGGGCGGCCGGCCGGCGCGGUCCUCUCCCCCAGCUCGGCUCUGCCUGAUGUGGUCAUCUUGGCCAGGGCCGUCGGGGCCACGGCUUAUCCAUCAUUGCAAAGAUCUCUCUGAGGCAUGGAGCGGAGGCAGCCCUGCCCAGAGGGGUUGGAAAAUGAGCGGCAUAUGGGGCCCUCAGUCCCAGGACCUUCUUGGCUUGGCUCCCGGGGAAGGGCGUGGGCUUCUUGGUCUGGAAACCGCCCAGGGAAGGCCUCUGGGGAGGCAAAGGCACACGGCUUCAGAAAAAUGGUACAUCUCUGUGGCUUUGGUGACCAGGUCUGCCUUUCCGGGCUCUUCGGAUUCCCCCAUUUUCCCCCAGCCCCGAGACCAACUUUGGGGAGAGGGGAAGCUCACACCUCAGAGAUCCAGACACCUGCCGCGGUGCUGGGGAGGGGAUGCUAGUGAAGGUGGGAAUGGUGUUUCUAAGCAGCCCUGGAAGGUGAGCAAAUUCCGGUACCUCUGUAUGGUCUCAGGAACCUGCAUCCUUGCUCCUCUGCAUUCCCUUCCUCCGAGUGACGAGGGGCUGUGAACUCUCCGACCUGCCCAGGUGGAAUUCUGAGAUCGUCAGAAGUCCCUCCUUUGAGCCUCAGUUCCAUGAGUAUCAAACUGCUGGGGAGACUUUGGGGGUGGGGGAAGCAACAAGUUUGAGCCAAGAACCCAUGAUUGAAAUUCUCCACCAAUAAAUUCCUCCCAGCUGAGCCCCAAGGGUCUGUAGUUGGUUCAGCAAGCUGGGGCGGCAGGAAGCGGGUGGGGGU
ensembl:lncRNA